rnacentral:rRNA from 1 species
UGAGGAAUAUUGGUCAAUGGGCGUGAGCCUGAACCAGCCAAGUAGCGUGCAGGAAGACGGCCCUAUGGGUUGUAAACUGCUUUUAUGCGGGGAUAAAGGAGUCCACGUGUGGAGUUUUGCAGGUACCGCAUGAAUAAGGACCGGCUAAUUCCGUGCCAGCAGCCGCGGUAAUACGGAAGGUCCGGGCGUUAUCCGGAUUUAUUGGGUUUAAAGGGAGCGUAGGCCGCGUUUUAAGCGUGUUGUGAAAUGUAGACGCCCAACGUCUGCAUCGCAGCGCGAACUGGGACGCUUGAGUACGCGCAACGUUGGCGGAAUUCGUCGUGUAGCGGUGAAAUGCUUAGAUAUGACGAGGAACUCCGAUUGCGGAGGCAGCUGACGGGAGCGGCACUGACGCUUAAGCUCGAAGGUGCGGGUAUCAAACAGG